AACCUGGUUGAUCCUGCCAGUAGUCAUAUGCUUGUCUCAAAGAUUAAGCCAUGCAUGUCUAAGUAUAAGCGACUAUACUGUGAAACUGCGAAUGGCUCAUUAAAUCAGUUAUGGUUUAUUUGAUGAUACCUACUACUUGGAUAACCGUAGUAAUUCUAGAGCUAAUACAUGCAGGAAGACCCGACUUCGGAAGGGUUGUAUUUAUUAGAUAAGAAACCAAUCCAGCUUGCUGGUUGCGUGCCGAGUCACAAUAACUGCUCGAAUCGCAUGGCUUUACGCCGGCGAUGGUUCAUUCAAAUUUCUGCCCUAUCAGCUUUCGAUGGUAGGAUCGAGGCCUACCAUGGCGUUUACGGGUAACGGAGAAUUAGGGUUCGAUUCCGGAGAGGGAGCCUGAGAGAUGGCUACCACAUCCAAGGAAGGCAGCAGGCGCGUAAAUUGCCCGAAUCCUGACACAGGGAGGUAGUGACAAGAAAUAACAAUACAGGGCUACAUAUAGUCUUGUAAUUGGAAUGAGUACAAUUUACAUCUCUUCACGAGGAUCAAUUGGAGGGCAAGUCUGGUGCCAGCAGCCGCGGUAAUUCCAGCUCCAAUAGC
rnacentral:rRNA from 1 species